rnacentral:rRNA from 1 species
UGGGGAAUCUUGCACAAUGGGGGAAACCCUGAUGCAGCGACGCCGCGUGAGCGAUGAAGGUUUUCGAAUCGUAAAGCUCUGUCCUAUGGGAAGAUAAUGACGGUACCAUAGGAGGAAGCCCCGGCUAACUACGUGCCAGCAGCCGCGGUAAUACGUAGGGGGCGAGCGUUGUCCGGAAUUACUGGGCGUAAAGCGAGCGCAGGCGGUCAAUUAAGUCUGAUGUGAAAGCCCCCGGCUCAACCGGGGAGGGUCAUUGGAAACUGGUUGACUUGAGUGCAGAAGAGGAGAGUGGAAUUCCAUGUGUAGCGGUGAAAUGCGUAGAUAUAUGGAGGAACACCAGUGGCGAAGGCGACUCUCUGGUCUGUAACUGACGCUGAGGCUCGAAAGCGUGGGUAGCAAACAGG